GUUUGUGGGCACUUGGCUGAGUUAGGUGUCCAAUACAAAGCAGUGUGUCUCAUUGACAGUCAGGCUGCAUGAGCUUCUCUACCUUCAGUGCUGGAGGACUUGCCACAGAAGGUCUUCCCUAGAAUCCAGCAUCUUGAAAGGCACAAGUGUAAUGAUGAUUUUCUUGGAGAAGUGAGAAAGCUUGGAA
rnacentral:lncRNA from 1 species